GCUACGCUGUGCCCUUCUCAGACUUCUGCAAGCUUCCAUUCAGAACUGCUAAAUGUAAAAGCAAGGAAAGCUUCCUAAUAUGCUGAAAGACAAGACAAUUUGAGACAUCUUCAAUCAAUGUGGCAUGUCACACCAGAAUGAUUAAAUAUAAUUCUGAUGUUGGACGAUUCCCUAUAUCUACCCACUUCUUCAGUGCCAAUUAUGAUUAUGGAACAAAGAGAAAGCAAGCCUACAGUUUCAAAUGUCCUUCAGUGUCAAAAUGCUAUUAAGCCUUCAGUUCUGCCUAAUGUGGAAAAAAAAAAAAAAAUAGCAGGACAAGAGAAACCAAGGAAUAAUGGAGAAUAUGGCCAUUUAGCAUGAUGUCACUUGCCACAAAAUCCAGAAACUGCAUCCAAGCAGAUUCAUCAAUAUUAUCCCACAGACCCUCUACUGCUUCAUCACCUGUAGCUGGAUUCCACUGCUAAAAGCAAAUGCAGGAAUCUUGAAUUUCUUGGAUAUCACUUAAUCUUUCAUUUAAGGGGACUGUGGAAAAAGUCCCCAAGGUUCUUCAGGGGAGCAAGUGAAACGUAAUUCUUAAAAACAUAAACUAGGAUUCUUUUCCCUUUAGUCAACAUCAAACAAGACUGAAUGCUCUGGGUAAAGGACAGCAAGAUAUGUCUUUGAUCCAUCAGAUGCAGAGUGCCUAAAACAAGCAGUUCAGGGCAGAGUAGUAACUUCACAUGUGUUGUUCACAUGGUGUGAACAACUUCUCCAUCUUAGUUCCCUCUCUGUUCUGCCAGCCAGAAUGUUCAAGCAACCAAGCAAUGACCUUGAUCAGAGAGCUGAUCUCUCUGUAAAGCAACCCAGCAAAAUAAAUGGUUAUUUUCAGGUGGAUCCAUUCGGAGUCUUACUAAGUGUGGAAGUGCCCAAACAUAUCUGACAGUGCAAUGGAAGAAGCCCUGAAUGGACACAAAUGGGAAGCCAGGAGCACUGGAUUAAGUUGACAGAGACACUUAAGAAAUGCAGAAAACGACACUUAAAAUACCACGGGGAUAAGAAAGCCUGACAUAACAACACAAGUACAGGUACUCUGAUCCAAAUCAUACAUCUCAGAUCCAACACUGAAGCUAACCCAGGAAGUCCCUGUUCCUGCCUGUCA